GUAGUGGAGUAAAAGGCGCUUUGCCCGGUGAGGGGAGAAAUGAGAGCGAUCUGGAAGGGGUCUGCAAAACCCGGGUUGGAUUAGACAGAGAUGGGAGGAACGAAGGCAGCUGCGACAGGGCCAAAUGCACCCCGGGCACGCAAAUUUCGGGCCGGAUUCUUCCUCGGGAGACGGAGUAAUGCGUCAUGCCUAAUGCAGUGGAAACAAGCAAGACCUGGCCUAGAGUUUCCAGACCUGGGCUCGCAGGGGGCUCCGGGAGGGGGCUAUUUAGUGGCUGAGGCGGCGUGGGCUGCCCUCGUCUUCCUGGCAGCGACGUGCAAGAAGGAGGGGCAAAAGGAGGGCUGGACUCGGGCACGAAAGGAUCUGGAGCGCCGGCUGCACCGAAGCAGGCAGGUGAGGAAACAGAAAUGGAUAGAGCCCAAGCAUCUGGCUGAACAUCAUACAGCCUGCAAGAAGGGAGGGAAGCACGCAAACUCAGGCAGUCAGUUCCAAAACCCGGGCUCACAGCCACCACUCCUGUCAAAGAGAAAGCAGAACUAAACUCCUGCUCUAACGGAUUUUCAGUUCUGGUGCAGAAGGUGAAAACAAAUAAGCAGAUAAGUGGAUAUACAACGCAACAUCAGGGAGAGCUGUGAAGAGACAUCGAGCAGCGUAAAGAGCGUGAAAAAGAGGCUUUCUUUUGAGCGUCUGUGGUCAGGAAAGCCUUCCUGGAGGAGGUGGCAAGAGAGAAAACCUGAAUGAAGCAUCGGAGGAUGCCACACAGAUAUGUGGGUGGAAGGGGAUUCAGAGACAAAAAAGCAAUGAAUGAGUCCAGAAUGGGUCUGCCUCCGUCUCCUCUGUGCCCCCAGCACCAACAGCAAAGUAAAACGCCCAUUGUGUGUGUGCUCCGUCAUCUCUGACUCUUCUGUGACCCCCUGGACUGUAGCCCGCCAGGCUCCUCUGCCCAUGGGAUUUCCCAGGCAGGCAUACUGGAGUGGGCUGCCAUUGCCUCCUCUAGGGGAUCUUCCUGACCCAGGGAU
ensembl:lncRNA